AGUUCCGAAGUGUCAAACACGAUAGAUUGCAAAUCUAGAAAAGCAGGUUAACGCCGGCCGGGGCUU
rnacentral:tRNA from 2 species